rnacentral:rRNA from 1 species
CCUACGGGAGGCAGCAGUGAGGAAUAUUGGUCAAUGGUCGGGAGACUGAACCAGCCAAGCCGCGUGAGGGAGGAAGGUACAGAGUAUCGUAAACCUCUUUUGUCAGGGAACAAAGACUGGGACGCGUCCCCGGAUGAGUGUACCUGAAGAAAAAGCAUCGGCUAACUCCGUGCCAGCAGCCGCGGUAAUACGGAGGAUGCGAGCGUUAUCCGGAUUUAUUGGGUUAAACGGGUGCGAAGGCGGUCUGUUAAGUCAGCGGUGAAAGCCCGGGGCUCAACCCCGGCCCGCCGUUGAAACUGGCAGUCUCGAGUUGGAGAGAAGUAAGCGGAAUUCCUAGUGUAGCGGUGAAAUGCGUAGAUAUUAGGAGGAACACCAGUGGCGAAGGCGGCUUACUGGACGACUACUGACGCUGAGGCUCGAAAGCGUGGGGAGCAAACAGGAUUAGAUACCCGAGUAGUC